rnacentral:rRNA from 1 species
CUAACCAGAAAGCCACGGCUAACUACGUGCCAGCAGCCGCGGUAAUACGUAGGUGGCAAGCGUUGUCCGGAAUUAUUGGGCGUAAAGCGCGCGCAGGCGGUCCUUUAAGUCUGAUGUGAAAGCCCACGGCUCAACCGUGGAGGGUCAUUGGAAACUGGGGGACUUGAGUGCAGAAGAGGAAAGCGGAAUUCCACGUGUAGCGGUGAAAUGCGUAGCAGAUGUGGAGGAACACCAGUGGCGAAGGCGGCUUUCUGGUCUGUAACUGACGCUGAGGCGCGAAAGCGUGCGGAGCAAACAGCAUUAGAUACCCUGGUAGUCCACGCCGUAAACGAUGAGUGCUAAGUGUUAGGGGGUUUCCGCCCCUUAGUGCUGCAGCUAACGCAUUAAGCACUCCGCCUGGGGAGUACGGCCGCAAGGCUGAAACUCAAAGGAAUUGACGGGGGCCCGCACAAGCGGUGGAGCAUGUGGUUUAAUUCGAAGCAACGCGAAGAACCUUACCAGGUCUUGACAUCCUGUGACGACUCCUAGAGAUAGGACGUUCCCCUUCGGGGGACAGAGCUACAGGUGCUGCA